GACGGAGGAUGCAAGCGUUAUCCGGAAUUAUUGGGCGUAAAGCGUCCGCAGGUGGCUGUUCAAGUCUGCUGUUAAAGCGCAGAGCUUAACUCUGUACAGGCGGUGGAAACUGAAGAGCUAGAGUAUGGUAGGGGUAGAGGGAAUUCCCGGUGUAGCGGUGAAAUGCGUAGAUAUCGGGAAGAACACCGAUGGCGAAGGCACUUUACUGGGCUAUUACUAACACUCAGGGGCGAAAGCUAGGGGAGCGAAUGGG
rnacentral:rRNA from 1 species